CUGAUCCAGCCAUGCCGCGUGAGUGAUGAAGGCCCUAGGGUUGUAAAGCUCUUUCAACGGUGAAGAUAAUGACGGUAACCGUAGAAGAAGCCCCGGCUAACUUCGUGCCAGCAGCCGCGGUAAUACGAAGGGGGCUAGCGUUGUUCGGAUUUACUGGGCGUAAAGCGCACGUAGGCGGAUUGUUAAGUUAGGGGUGAAAUCCCAGGGCUCAACCCUGGAACUGCCUUUAAUACUGGCAAUCUCGAGUCCGGAAGAGGUGACUGGAAUUCCGAGUGUAGAGGUGAAAUUCGUAGAUAUUCG
rnacentral:rRNA from 1 species